UUAUGCGAUACUUGGUGUGAAUUGCAGAAUUCAGUGAAUCAUCGAAUCUUUGAACGCACCUUGCGCUCCUUGGUAUUCCGAGGAGCAUGCUUGUUUGAGUGUCAUGGAAACCGUCAUUCACACCUGCAAGCUUUUGUGGUAUUGUAGGCUUGGACUUGGAGGCUUGUCGGCCGUUGUCGGUCGGCUCCUCUUAAAUGCAUUAGCUUGGUUCCUUGCGGAUCGGCUCUCAGUGUGAUAAUGUCUACGCUGCGACCGUGAAGCGUUUGGCGAGCUUCUAACCGUCUCAGUUGGAGACAACUUUAUGACCUCUGACCUCAAAUCAGGUAGGACUACCCGCUGAACUUAAGCAUAUCAAUAAGCGGAGGAA
rnacentral:rRNA from 1 species